GUCAAUAAUCCGCACUUGCAUUCUAACGAAUGUGGAAGUGGGUGCUUAUAAAAGCUCUUAUUGUCUAGUCCAAGUUCUGAGAGAACUACGUCAUUUUCGUUAUCAUACCCAAAAAUCCAAAAAUGAUCCCCUAGUUAUUGGCUCAAUGCUGGCUCUGUAAACAGUCCUGAUGGGUAGGGACAGUCAACCAAAUGUGUAAGUCACACUUACAAGCGAUCAUAACAUAGACGAAGGGAAACAAAA
rfam:Lysinibacillus contaminans strain DSM 25560 Scaffold1, whole genome shotgun sequence.